rnacentral:rRNA from 1 species
AGAGUUUUGAUCCUGGCUCAGGAUGAACGCUAGCGACAGGCUUAACACAUGCAAGUCGAGGGGCAGCGGGAAGGUUAGCUUGCUAAUCUUUGCCGGCGACCGGCGCACGGGUGAGUAACACGUAUGCAACCUGUCCGGGUACAGGGGGAUAAGCGGCGGAAACGCCGUCUAAUACCGCGUGACAACCCGAGGGGGCAUCCCCUUGGGUUCAAAGGAGAGAUCCGGUACCGGCUGGGCAUGCGGCGCAUUAGCUAGUUGGCGGGGCAACGGCCCACCAAGGCGACGAUGCGUAGGGGUUCUGAGAGGAAGGUCCCCCACACUGGAACUGAGACACGGUCCAGACUCCUACGGGAGGCAGCAGUGAGGAAUAUUGGUCAAUGGGCGCAAGCCUGAACCAGCCAAGUCGCGUGAGGGAAGACGGCCCUACGGGUUGUAAACCUCUUUUGCCGGGGAGCAAGCCUGAGCACGUGUGCCCAGGCGGAGAGUACCCGGAGAAAAAGCAUCGGCUAACUCCGUG